AAACAGCUUACACAAUUUCAAAAUACAUUUCAAUUCAUAUUUCCGUCUCAUUCUCUCUUCCGUUUUUUCUCUCUCACUCUUCACGUUCAAAUUCUCCUCCCCUUUCUCUCUUCCCUCUGCGGCUUACUAUCUUCUUCUCCAUUAAAACCUUCAUUCAGCUCAUCAAACCCUAAAUCUGUCGCCGUCCCCUUUCUUCCUCGUCUUCGUUUCUCCUUCCUCUGCUACUCUCAAAAUGAAUGUUUUCCCUUUUCUUUCACGCCUUCUUCUUCUUAUGUUCCUAACAAAUUUUGUUCAUAACAGAUUUGUUGUGUUCUUUGGUUUUUGUAGUGUAUCGGCGAAAUAAAUGGCGGAGGAUGAUGGAAUUUUUUAGAUGAGGGUUACACGAUGGUAGCUUUCUCAGAGUAUUAGUGUUUUUCUUGAUUUUUGUGGUGAACUUUCAUGUAAAUUUUUUGCAAGCAACACAAUAAACAUUGAUUCUCCUGUACUGCUUUACCAUUACACAUAUGAUUCAUUGGAGAGCAGCCUCAAGUACUGAAGAUAGAGCUUCCUUAUGAGACAAAUCACUUAUCAUCAGUUAAAUUGGAUUCUGCAGGACAUGCACACAUUAAAAAACAGAGCUUCAAGAUGAGAUGGUGGUGUUGGCAAAACAACUCAAAGAGAGUAGUGAAAAAAAAGUGAUUUUGAAAAUUGGAGAGAACAUUUGUUUUGCAAAUUGGAGCCAAUAUGUGCAUGACUUAAUGAUACUACUGAACCUCAAGUUUGUUUAAAAAUAUUAUUUGCAUUUCAUUUACAUAAAUCCUCCAGUUGAAUCAGUACCUACUUGAGCGUACCUAGCAAAAUUCUGCACAAAAGCUGCUUUUCAACCCUACCUUCAAAGGGAUUAUAACAGGCCAAUACAGCAAUGGGUGAUAAAGGUUCUACUUAUAGACAUAUCAGAUUUAUCUUCUCUAUAUUAAUUGUUGGAAAUUAAUUUUAUUAUUCCAAAUGUUUAGAACAAGUGAUACUGCAGGAUUCCUGUUGCAAUCUAUAAUUUAAUUUUUAGUUAAUACCUUGCUUACUAUUAUAUUUGCAAUAAAUACCGAUUGAUGGUUUGAAAAGUUUCAAUAAAUGCGGGUGGAAUAUUCUUAAAUAUAUAACUAUAUUUAGACUACAUUGACUGAUAUUAAAUAUAUCUACCAUUGAUUGAUAUUCAAUGUUUAUAAAGUUGCUUCAGUCCAUUGUAUUAGGUUUC